rnacentral:rRNA from 1 species
AGAGUUUGAUCAUGGCUCAGGAUGAACGCUGGCGGCGUGCCUAAUACAUGCAAGUCGAGCGAAUGGAUUAAGAGCUUGCUCUUAUGAAGUUAGCGGCGGACGGGUGAGUAACACGUGGGUAACCUGCCCAUAAGACUGGGAUAACUCCGGGAAACCGGGGCUAAUACCGGAUAAUAUUUUGAACUGCAUGGUUCGAAAUUGAAAGGCGGCUUCGGCUGUCACUUAUGGAUGGACCCACGUCGCAUUAGCUAGUUGGUGAGGUAACGGCUCACCAAGGCAACGAUGCGUAGCCGACCUGAGAGGGUGAUCGGCCACACUGGGACUGAGACACGGCCCAGACUCCUACGGGAGGCAGCAGUAGGGAAUCUUCCGCAAUGGACGAAAGUCUGACGGAGCAACGCCGCGUGAGUGAUGAAGGCUUUCGGGUCGUAAAACUCUGUUGUUAGGGAAGAACAAGUGCUAGUUGAAUAAGCUGGCACCUUGACGGUACCUAACCAGAAAGCCACGGCUAACUACGUGCCAGCAGCCGCGGUAAUACGUAGGUGGCAAGCGUUAUCCGGAAUUAUUGGGCGUAAAGCGCGCGCAGGUGGUUUCUUAAGUCUGAUGUGAAAGCCCACGGCUCAACCGUGGAGGGUCAUUGGAAACUGGGAGACUUGAGUGCAGAAGAGGAAAGUGGAAUUCCAUGUGUAGCGGUGAAAUGCGUAGAGAUAUGGAGGAACACCAGUGGCGAAGGCGACUUUCUGGUCUGUAACUGACACUGAGGCGCGAAAGCGUGGGGAGCAAACAGGAUUAGAUACCCUAGUAGUCC